rnacentral:rRNA from 1 species
UACGUAGGGUGCAAGCGUUGUCCGGAAUUAUUGGGCGUAAAGAGCUCGUAGGCGGUUUGUCGCGUCUGCUGUGAAAACGCGAGGCUCAACCUCGCGCCUGCAGUGGGUACGGGCAGACUAGAGUGCGGUAGGGGAGAUUUGAAUUCCUGGUGUAGCGGUGGAAUGCGCAGAUAUCAGGAGGAACACCGAUGGCGAAGGCAGAUCUCUGGGCCGUAACUGACGCUGAGGAGCGAAAGCGUGGGGAGCGAACAGG